rnacentral:rRNA from 1 species
UUGGCUCAGGAUGAACGCUGGCGGCGUGCCUAACACAUGCAAGUCGAACGGACACUUUAAGAAGAGUCUUCGGAUGAUUCUUAAAGUUGUUAGUGGCGGACGGGUGAGUAACGCGUGGGGAACCUGCCUUUGUCCGGGGGAUAGCAGCUGGAAACGGCUGGUAAUACCGCAUAAGACCACGAAGCCGCAUGGCUUUGCGGUAAAAGAUUUAUCGGACAGAGAUGGACCCGCGUCUGAUUAGCCAGUUGGAAGGGUAACGGCCUACCAAAGCAACGAUCAGUAGCCGGCCUGAGAGGGCGGACGGCCACAUUGGGACUGAGACACGGCCCAGACUCCUACGGGAGGCAGCAGUGGGGAAUA